rnacentral:lncRNA from 1 species
GCGUUGUUCGCUGCCGGAGUUUGGGGUGGCAAGGACCGGGCGCACGGCUGAGAUGCGCUGCCCUCCAGAAUGCGAGCCUGUGCACGCGCCUGCGGAGGGGCCACACUCCCUGCAGCGUCCGCGAUGCGCUGUUCCCGCUGGCGCUCGGCGGGCGCUCCCCUGGGCACAUCGAGGCUCUAGUGACCGCAUUAUGAAUUAGUCCUUUCCUUUUCUCCUCAUGUGAUUGCAGCGAGCGCUCGUCUUGUUUGUAAAUCGUGCUGGCAAGCCCCGUUUUAACCAACUACGAAUUUCAUUUCGGAAUGAAAAAGGAGACGCACUUUCGGACAGGGCAGCGGUUGCCGCCGGUCCUUCCUCUGAGCUACCGGUCCCUAGAAGGAAGACCUGCCUUCGACCGAUCUGGAAAUGAGUCCCAGCUGCAAGCCCAGGGCGGCGGAAGCCCCACGGGCCGAGCCGAAGAAAGACGAGGCGGGGGACGGGGAGCGUAGUGCCGCGUGCCGGGACCCACAACCCCUUUCCCCUGGGCGCUCUUCCCCGAGCGGACAGGAAAAAGCUCUCCUUUGCCGCUGCCCAUCCCCCAGGGCCCAAGCGAUGCUUCCUAACCGCGUGGACGCAGCUUGAUGGGGGAGAAAGAGCUCUGGGAGCAGGGCUUAGAGCCUCGUCUCGCCUCCUGCCAACUCGGUCCGGCAAGGUUCCGAACCUCCCUGAGCCUCAGCUUCCUAAUCUGGCAAACAUGACGACAAAAGUCCUUCUCUUUUAAGGUUUGCCCACAGCCCAGCUGCAUCUGUGAACAUGAAUGCUACUUCUACAGAAACAGAGUGGAAUCUCCGAAAUACCUUUGAGACCCUUUCGUGUCAGGUGGGUGGGCCACAGCCUGAUCAUGGAAUAAAAGUCAGCCUUAAGGA